ACGCACGCUGGCGGCAUGCCUCACACAUGCCAGUCGCACGAGACCUUCGGGUCUAGUGGCGCACGGGUGCGUAACGCGUGGGAACCUGCCCUUAGGUUCGGAAUAACUCCCCGAAAGGGGUGCUAAUACCGGAUAAUGUCUUCGGACCAAAGAUUUAUCGCCUUUGGAUGGGCCCGCGUUGGAUUAGCUAGUUGGUAGGGUAAAAGCCUACCAAGGCGACGAUCCAUAGCUGGUCUGAGAGGAUGAUCAGCCACACUGGGACUGAGACACGGCCCAGACUCCUACGGGAGGCAGCAGUGGGGAAUAUUGGACAAUGGGCGAAAGCCUGAUCCAGCAAUGCCGCGUGAGUGAUGAAGGCCUUAGGGUUGUAAAGCUCUUUUACCCGGGAUGAUAAUGACAGUACCGGGAGAAUAAGCGCCGGCUAACUCCGUG
rnacentral:rRNA from 1 species